AAAGUUGCGACAACACAUUCCAUGGGUGAUGAUAUCUACCAAAAUUCUUGGCGGCACAGUUCUACCCUCGUCAGUUGCACUUGUCCGAGUCUUUCUCUGCCUCUCAACCAACUCGAGAUAUUCCCCCCCCCCAACUGCAUGCCGGCACAGCUUCACAUCAACCCAUCUAAUUAAUUUGUCGGAAAGGUUGACUACACAAAUUUCCUGUUUGGUUGUGGAGAUAGAAUCAUUUUUUGUGAAAGUUUGAUUUCAGACAUUUAAAAAUUAGAAUUGUCAUGUAUUAUUAGGCAUGUCAGGCAUCAGCAAAGCAUCUCAAUCAAGUAUUAAUUAUUUUACUUUGUCAAUGUCAAUUCAUUGUGUAUGCUAUUCAUCUGUUUGCCUUGCAUUUUAUAAGAAUGACACAAACAAGGAAAGCAUUUGUAAAGUAUUAGUUAAUUUUUUUUAUAUAUAAUCUUAGACGAGAUGUUUAGUGAAUAUUUGUCAUAAAUUCUUCUUUAACUUGAUCAAAUCUGUCAUAUUUUAUUUAAAACGUGUUAAGUA